rnacentral:piRNA from 1 species
UGUGCCGGAGGUGCGGCUUCCAGAGG